rnacentral:rRNA from 1 species
GACGAACGCUGGCGGCGUGCCUAAUACAUGCAAGUCGAGCGGACGGAUGGGAGCUUGCUCCCAGACCGUCAGCGGCGGACGGGUGAGUAACACGUGGGCAACCUGCCUGUAAGACUGGGGUAACUCCGGGAAACCGGGGCUAAUACCGGAUAACUCUUUCCCUCCCAUGAGGGAAAGCUGAAAGAUGGCAUCUCGCUAUCACUUACAGAUGGGCCCGCGGCGCAUUAGCUAGUUGGUGAGGUAACGGCUCACCAAGGCGACGAUGCGUAGCCGACCUGAGAGGGUGAUCGGCCACACUGGGACUGAGACACGGCCCAGACUCCUACGGGAGGCAGCAGUAGGGAAUCUUCCGCAAUGGACGAAAGUCUGACGGAGCAACGCCGCGUGAGUGAUGAAGGUUUUCGGAUCGUAAAACUCUGUUGUCAGGGAAGAACAAGUACCGGAGUAACUGCCGGUACCUUGACGGUACCUGACCAGAAAGCCACGGCUAACUACGUG